rnacentral:rRNA from 1 species
CCUACGGGUGGCAGCAGUGAGGAAUUUUGGUCAAUGGGCGCGAGCCUGAACCAGCCAAGUAGCGUGAAGGCUGACUGCCCUACGGGUUGUCAACUUCUUUUAUAAAGGAAUAAAGUGAGGCACGUGUGCCUUUUUGUAUGUACUUUAUGACUAAGGAUCGGCUAACUCCGUUCCAGCAGCCGCGGUAAUACGGAAGAUCCGAGCGUUAUCCGGAUUUUUUGGGUUUAGAGGGAGAGUAGAUGGGUUGUUCAGUAAGUUGUGAAAGUUUGCGGCUCAACCGUAAAAUUGCAAUUGAUACUGGAAGCAUUGAGUACAGUUGAGGUAGGCGGAAUUCGUGGUGUAGCGGUGAAAUGCUUAGAUAUCACGAAGAACUCCGAUUGCGAAGGCAGCCUACUAAACUGCCACUGACAUUGAUGCUCGAAAGUGUGGGUAUCAAACAGGAUUAGAUACCCGUGUAGUC